GAUGAACGCUGGCGGCGUGCCUAAUACAUGCCAGUCGAGCGAACAGACGAGGAGCUUGCUCCUCUGACGUUAGCGGCGGACGGGUGAGUAACACGUGGAUAACCUACCUAUAAGACUGGGAUAACUUCGGGAAACCGGAGCUAAUACCGGAUAAUAUAUUGAACCGCAUGGUUCAAUAGUGAAAGACGGUUUUGCUGUCACUUAUAGAUGGAUCCGCGCCGCAUUAGCUAGUUGGUAAGGUAACGGCUUACCAAGGCGACGAUGCGUAGCCGACCUGAGAGGGGGAUCGGCCACACUGGAACUGAGACACGGUCCAGACUCCUACGGGAGGCAGCAGUAGGGAAUCUUCCGCAAUGGGCGAAAGCCUGACGGAGCAACGCCGCGUGAGUGAUGAAGGUCUUCGGAUCGUAAAACUCUGUAAUUAGGGAAGAACAAAUGUGUAAGUAACUAUGCACGUCUUGACGGUACCUAAUCAGAAAGCCACGGCUAACUACGUG
rnacentral:rRNA from 1 species